rnacentral:rRNA from 1 species
AUGGUCUCUGACCGCGACCCCGUCUUCACCUCGGCUUUUUGGCGGGAGCUCAUGCGCCUCACCGGGACAAAGCUGCACAUGACGUCAGCGUUUCAUCCACAGUCGGAUGGCCAAACGGAGGCUGCUAACAAGAUCAUUGUGAUGUACCUACCUUGUCUCACCGGGGAUCGUCCCAGGCAGCGGCUCCGGUGGCUUCCCUGGGCCGAGUACAUCUACAAAACCGCCUACCAGACAGCGACCCAAGAAACUCCGUUCAAGCUUGUGUAUGGCCGUGACCCUCCCACUAUUCGCUCUUACGAGCCGGGCGACACGCGGGUAGCCGCAGUGGCCAGGAGCAUAGCGGAGCGCGACGAGCUACUCGGGGACGUCCGCUAUCGUCUACAACAGGCACAGGCGGUCUACAAGUCCUACUAUGACAGACGCCAUCGGGACAUUCGGCAUGACGUGGGCGAUUGGGUCUGGCUUCGCCUUCGCCAGCGCACCGCGUCCUCUCUCAACUUGCCAACCAGGGGCAAGCUCAAGCCACGCUUCUAUGGGCCGUACCGCAUUUCAGAGGUCGUCAAUGACGUGGUUUACCGCCUUGAGCUUCCGGCACGCUCGCGCCUCCAUGACGUGUUCCACGUGGGCCUCCUCAAGAAGUUCUUCGGCACGCCUCCAACUGCACCGCCGGGUUUGCCUCCGAUCCACAACAGGGCGGCUGUUCCAGAACCGGAGCGCGUGACUCGUGCGCGCCUAGCACGCGGCGUUUGCCAGCUACUCGUCCACUGGAAGGGUGAAGCAGCAUCAUCAGCUACAUGGGAGGAUCUUGACAGUUUCGUCGAGCGCUACCCCGCUUUUCAGCUCGAGGACGAGCUGCUCGUCGAGGGGGGAGAGAUGUCAUGUGGGGCACUUCCUACAGGCGUGGGCCACGCGACCAGGAGCAACAGCCGCCUGCCGCAAUAG